GACGUAGGGCGCGAGCGUUGUCCGGAUUUAUUGGGCGUAAAGAGCUCGUAGGCGGCUUGUCGCGUCGACUGUGAAAACCUGCGGCUCAACCGUGUGGUCUGCAGUCGAUACGGGCAGGCUAGAGUUCGGUAGGGGAGACUGGAAUUCCUGGUGUAGCGGUGAAAUGCGCAGAUAUCAGGAGGAACACCCGUGGCGAAAGCGGCUCUCUGGGACGGUACUGACGCUGAGACGCGAAAGCGUGGGGAGCGAACAGG
rnacentral:rRNA from 1 species